rnacentral:tRNA from 1 species
GCUCCCAUGGCGUAGUGGUCACUGCACUCGCCUUGCACGCGGGAGACCCGGGUUCGAUUCCCGGCGGAUGCC